AUGUACUCAGGCCCGGCGCUGAGGCAGUGCCACCGGUGCGGCCGCACCGGGCCCCCGAUCGCUAGGGGCCUCACCCAGCUAUGCUAAUACGGCACACAUCGACAAAGAAAAGGAAAGUGCAUCGACUCAAUCUGGCCGGUUCGCGUGAAAACAUCCCUGCGCAUCGUCUUCUCCACUUUGCUCCUCCUUCACUUCUCCGUUUCCCAACACCAAUCCCUGUGCAUUGACUCAAUCUAACCGUUUUGGAGGAGUUAAUGGAGGAGGAGAUCAUGAUUCAUUGAUUCCCAAGAAAUCUCUCUCGACUUUGUAAAUGUUGGUACAAUCCCCUUCUCUAUAUUCUUCAAUAUUAGUUUUUUCUUGCUCAUCCCUUCCGAUUUGAUUUGAUUUGAUUUGUUCUCCACUUCUAUAUACUCCAAGAUUAUGUUAAAUGAUUAAAUUAUAAUUAAAUUAAAUAUCAGAAUUUUUUUC